UACGUAGGGGGCAAGCGUUGUCCGGAUUCAUUGGGCGUAAAGAGCGUGUAGGCGGCCAGGUAGGUCGGUUGUGAAAACUGGAGGCUCAACCUUCAGACGUCGACCGAAACCAUCUGGCUAGAGUCCGGGAGAGGAGAGUGGAAUUCCCAGUGUAGCGGUGAAAUGCGCAGAUAUCAGGAGGAACACCGAUGGCGAAGGCAGGUCUCUGGGCCACUACUGACGCUGAGAAGCGAAAGCAUGGGGAGCGAACAGG
rnacentral:rRNA from 1 species